rnacentral:rRNA from 1 species
GACGAACGCUGGCGGCGUGCUUAACACAUGCAAGUCGAACGAUGAACCCGGAGCUUGCUCCGGUGGAUUAGUGGCGAACGGGUGAGUAACACGUGAGAAAUCUGCCCUUGACUCUGGGAUAACUGCGGGAAACUGUAGCUAAUACCGGAUAUUUUCCUCGGUGGGCAUCCACUGGGGAAGAAAGAAUUUCGGUCAAGGAUGAUCUCGCGGCCUAUCAGCUAGUUGGUGAGGUAAUGGCUCACCAAGGCGACGACGGGUAGCCGGCCUGAGAGGGGAACCGGCCAAACUGGGACUGAGACACGGCCCAGACUCCUACGGGAGGCAGCAGUGGGGAAUAUUGCACAAUGGGCGCAAGCCUGAUGCAGCAACGCCGCGUGAGGGAUGAAGGCCUUCGGGUUGUAAACCUCUUUUAGCAGGGAAGAAGCGAAAGUGACGGUACCUGCAGAAAAAGCACCGGCUAACUACGUGCCAGCCGCCGCCGUAA